rnacentral:rRNA from 1 species
AUUGAACGCUGGCGGCAGGCCUAACACAUGCAAGUCGAGCGAGCGGCGGACGGGUGAGUAAUGUAUGGGGAACUGCCCGAUAGAGGGGGAUAACUACUGGAAACGGUGGCUAAUACCGCAUACCAUCGGAUGAACCCAUAUGGGAUUAGCUAGUAGGUGGGGUAUAGGCUCACCUAGGCGACGAUCCCUAGCUGGUCUGAGAGGAGGAACAGCCACACUGGGACUGAGACACGGUCCAGACUCCUACGGGAGGCAGCAGGGGGGAAUAUUGCACAAUGGGCGAAAGCCUGAUGCAGCCAUGCCGCGUGUAUGAAGAAGGCCUUAGGGUUGUAAAGUACUUUCAGCGGGGAGGCGUUACCCGCAGAAGAAGCACCGGCUAACUCCGUGCCAGCAGCCGCGGUAAUUC